rnacentral:rRNA from 1 species
CCAAUAGCGUAUAUUAAAGUUGUUGCAGUUAAAAAGCUCGUAGUUGAAUUUCGGGAUCAGUACGCCGGUCGUGCCUCCGGUAUGUACUGGUGUCACUGAUUCCUCCCUUCUGAAGAACUAUCAUGCCAUUAAAUUGGUGUGGUGGGGAAUCAGGACUGUUACUUUGAAAAAAUUAGAGUGUUUAAAGCAGGCUCACGCUUGAAUACAUUAGCAUGGAAUAAUGAAAUAGGACGUUGAUCUUAUUUUGUUGGUUUCUAGGAUUGACGUAAUGAUUAAUAGGGAUAGUUGGGGGCAUUAGUAUUCAAUUGUCAGAGGUGAAAUUCUUGGAUUUAUUGAAGACUAACUACUGCGAAAGCAUUUGCCAAGGAUGUUUUCAUUAAUCAAGAACGAAAGUUAGGGGAUCGAAGACGAUCAGAUACCGUCGUAGUCUUAACCAUAAACUAUGCCGACUAGGGAUCGGAUGAUGUUAAUUUUUUAAUGACUCAUUCGGCGCCUUACG